AAACUAAAGAGUUUGAUCCUGGCUCAGAUUGAACGCUGGCGGCAUGCCUUACACAUGCAAGUCGAACGGCAGCACGGAGCUUGCUCUGGUGGCGAGUGGCGAACGGGUGAGUAAAAUAUCGGAACGUACCCAGGAGUGGGGGAUAACGUAGCGAAAGUUACGCUAAUACCGCAUACGUCCUAAGGGAGAAAGUGGGGG
rnacentral:ncRNA from 1 species